GACGAACGCUGGCGGCGUGCUUAACACAUGCAAGUCGAACGGAAAGGCCCUGCUUUUGUGGGGUGCUCGAGGGGCGAACGGGUGAGUAACACGUGAGUAACCUGCCCUUGACUGUGGGAUAACUUCAGGAAACUGGGGCUAAUACCGGAUAGGAGCUCCUGCUGCAUGGUGGGGGUUGGAAAGUUUCGGCGGUUGGGGGUGGACUCGCGGCUUAUCAGCUUGUUGGUUGGGGAGUGGCUUACCAAGGCUUUGGCGGGUAGCCGGCAUGGGAGGGUGACCGGCCACAUUGGGCCUGAGAGACGGCCCAGACGCCUACGGGAGGCAGCAGGGGGGAAUAUUGCACAAUGGGGGGACGCCUGAUGCAGCAACGCCGCGUGCGGGAUGACGGCCUUCGGGUUGUAAACCGCUUUCGCCUGUGACGAAGCGGGAGUGACGGUAAUGGGUAAAGAAGCACCGGCUAACUACGUG
rnacentral:rRNA from 1 species